GACGGACGCUGGCGGCGUGCUUAACACAUGCAAGUCGAACGGAAAGGCCCUGCUUUUGUGGGGUGCUCGAGUGGCGAACGGGUGAGUAACACGUGAGUAACCUGCCCUUGACUUUGGGAUAACUUCAGGAAACUGGGGCUAAUACCGGAUAGGAGCUCCUGCGGCAUGGGGGGGGUUGGAAAGUUUCGGCGGUUGGGGAUGGACUCGCGGCUUAUCAGCUUGUUGGUGGGGUAGUGGCUUACCAAGGCUUUGACGGGUAGCCGGCCUGAGAGGGUGACCGGCCACAUUGGGACUGAGAUACGGCCCAGACUCCUACGGGAGGCAGCAGUGGGGAAUAUUGCACAAUGGGCGGAAGCCUGAUGCAGCAACGCCGCGUGCGGGAUGACGGCCUUCGGGUUGUAAACCGCUUUCGCCUGUGACGAAGCGUGAGUGACGGUAAUGGGUAAAGAAGCACCGGCUAACUACGUG
rnacentral:rRNA from 1 species